rnacentral:rRNA from 1 species
AUUGAACGCUGGCGGCAUGCCUUACACAUGCAAGUCGAACGGCAGCACGGGUGCUUGCACCUGGUGGCGAGUGGCGAACGGGUGAGUAAUAUAUCGGAACGUACCUUAUUGUGGGGGAUAACGCAGCGAAAGCUGUGCUAAUACCGCAUAAUCCCUAAGGGGGAAAGCGGGGGACCGUAAGGCCUCGCGCAAUUAGAGCGGCCGAUACCUGAUUAGCUAGUUGGUGAGGUAAAGGCUCACCAAGGCAACGAUCAGUAGCUGGUCUGAGAGGACGAGCGGCCACGCGGGGACUGAGACACGGCCCAGACUCCUACGGGGUGCAGCAGUGGGGAAUUUUGGACAAUGGGGGCAACCCUGAUCCAGCAAUGCCGCGUGAGUGAAGAAGGCCUUCGGGUUGUAAAGCUCUUUUGUCAGGGAAGAAACAGCAGCUCUAACACAGUUUGCGAAUGACGGUACCUGAAGAAUAAGCACCGGCUAACUACGUGCCAGCAGCCGCCGUAA